rnacentral:tRNA from 1 species
CAUUAGAUGGCCGAAAGCUUAAGCAAUGGAAUUUUAAAUCAUUUUAUAAUAUAGUAGCGUUAUAUUUCUAAUG